rnacentral:rRNA from 1 species
GUGCCAGCAGCCGCGGUAAUACGUAGGGUGCGAGCGUUGUCCGGAUUUAUUGGGCGUAAAGGGCUCGUAGGCGGUGUGUCGCGUCGGCCGUGAAAUCCUGCCGCUUAACGGUGGGCGUGCGGUCGAUACGGGCACACUUGAGUUCGGUAGGGGAGACUGGAAUUCCUGGUGUAGCGGUGAAAUGCGCAGAUAUCAGGAGGAACACCGGUGGCGAAGGCGGGUCUCUGGGCCGAUACUGACGCUGAGGAGCGAAAGCGUGGGGAGCGAACAGGAUUAGAUACCCUGGUAGUCC